AUAGCAAGCAAUACCAGUAAUUACUACAGUUUUUUUCUGACGCUAUGGUACUAUUCUCACAAGUAUGUGGUAAUAUUUCACUACCUUAAGUACAAAUAAACCAACAGAUCAUCAAAAAGU